GUCCGCACGAGCGCACCCUUAUCCUUAGUUGCCAGCACGUAAUGGUGGGAACUCUNAGGAGACUGCCGGUGACAAACCGGAGGAAGGUGGGGACGACGUCAAGUCAUCAUGGCCCUUACGAGAUGGGCUACACACGUGCUACAAUGGCAAGUACAAAGGGUUGCAAACUCGCGAGAGUAAGCGGAUCCCAUAAAGCUUGUCGUAGUCCGGAUUGGAGUCUGCAACUCGACUCCAUGAAGUCGGAAUCGCUAGUAAUCGUGGAUCAGAAUGCCACGGUGAAUACGUUCCCGGGCCUUGUACACACCGCCCGUCACACCAUGGGAGUGGGCUGCAAAAGAAGUGGAUAGCUUAACCUUCGGGAGGGCGUUCACCACUUUGUGGUUCAUGACUGGGGUGAAGUCGUAACAAGGUAGCCGUAGGGGAACCUGCGGCUGGAUCACCUCCUU
rnacentral:rRNA from 1 species